rnacentral:rRNA from 1 species
AUACGUAGGGGGCUAGCGUUAUCCGGAUUUACUGGGCGUAAAGGGUGCGUAGGUGGCUUCUUAAGUCAGGAGUGAAAGGCUACGGCUUAACCGUAGUAAGCUCUUGAAACUGGGAAACUUGAGUGCAGGAGAGGAAAGUGGAAUUCCUAGUGUAGCGGUGAAAUGCGUAGGUAUUAGGAGGAACACCAGUAGCGAAGGCGGCUUUCUGGACUGUAACUGACACUGAGGCACGAAAGCGUGGGGAGC